AAUUCCUAGUGUAGAGGUGAAAUUCGUAGAUAUUAGGAGGAACACCAGUGGCGAAGGCGACUAUCUGGACUGUAACUGACGCUGAGGCACGAAAGUGUGGGGAGCGAACAGGAUUAGAUACCCUGGUAGUCCACACCGUAAACGAUGAAUACUAGGUGUCGGGGGUCGAACCUCGGCGCCGCAGCUAACGCAUUAAGUAUUCCGCCUGGGGAGUACGCACGCAAGUGUGAAACUCAAAGGAAUUGACGGGGACCCGCACAAGUAGCGGAGCAUGUGGUUUAAUUCGAAGCAACGCGAAGAACCUUACCAAGUCUUGACAUCCUUAUGCAAAUCUCUUAGCCGAGAUGUUCUCUUCGGAGACAUAAGUGACAGGUGGUGCAUGGUUGUCGUCAGCUCGUGUCGUGAGAUGUUGGGUUAAGUCCCGCAACGAGCGCAACCCUUAUGUUUAGUUGCCAUCAGUUAGGCUGGGCACUCUAGACAGACUGCCGUGGACAACACGGAGGAAGGUGGGGAUGACGUCAAAUCAUCAUGCCCCUUAUGAUUUGGGCUACACACGUGCUACAAUGGUCGGUACAACGGGCAGCGAAGGAGUGAUCUGGAGCGAAUCCUAAAAAGCCGAUCUCAGUUCGGAUUGUAGGCUGCAACUCGCCUACAUGAAGUUGGAGUUACUAGUAAUCGUGGAUCAGAAUGCCGCGGUGAAUGCGUUCCCGGGCCUUGUACACACCGCCC
rnacentral:rRNA from 1 species